rnacentral:rRNA from 1 species
UUCCGUAGGUGAACCUGCGGAGGGAUCAUUACUGAGUUUACGCUCUACAACCCUUUGUGAACAUACCUAUAACUGUUGCUUCGGCGGGUAGGGUCUCCGCGACCCUCCCGGCCUCCCGCCUCCGGGCGGGUCGGCGCCCGCCGGAGGAUAACCAAACUCUGAUUUAACGACGUUUCUUCUGAGUGGUACAAGCAAAUAAUCAAAACUUUUAACAACGGAUCUCUUGGUUCUGGCAUCGAUGAAGAACGCAGCGAAAUGCGAUAAGUAAUGUGAAUUGCAGAAUUCAGUGAAUCAUCGAAUCUUUGAACGCACAUUGCGCCCGCCAGCAUUCUGGCGGGCAUGCCUGUUCGAGCGUCAUUUCAACCCUCAAGCUCUGCUUGGUGUUGGGGCCCUACAGCCGAUGUAGGCCCUCAAAGGUAGUGGCGGACCCUCCCGGAGCCUCCUUUGCGUAGUAACUUUACGUCUCGCACUGGGAUCCGGAGGGACUCUUGCCGUAAAACCCCCCAAUUUUCCAAAGGUUGACCUCGGAUCAGGUAGGAAUACCCGCUGAACUUAAGCAUAUCAAUAAGCGGAGGA